AUGGUGAAGCACAACAAUGUUAUCCCAGGGGAGCACUUCAGGAAGCACUGGCAGAACUAUGUCAAGACAUGGUUCAACCAGCCGGCAAGGAAGACCAGGAGGAGAGUUGCUCGCCAGAAGAAAGCUGUGAAGAUCUUCCCUAGGUCUACUGCUGGACCUUUGCAUCCGGUUCUUCGUGGGCAGACUUUGAAGUAUAACAUGAAAGUCAGGGCUGGCCGCGACUUCACUUUGGAGGAGUUGAAGGCAGCUGGUAUCCCAAGGAAACUUGCAGCAACCAUUGGAAUCUCAGUGACCAUCGCAGGAAGAAUCGUUCUCUUGAGGGGUUUCAAGUUAAUGUACUUCGUCUGAAGACUUACAAGCAAAAAUUAGUCGUCUUCCCAAGGCGUGCUGGCAAGUUUAAGGCCGGUGACUCUGCAGCAGAGGAACUUGCAAAUGCAGCCUAGGUCCAAGGUCCUCUCUUGCCCAUCGACCGUGAGAAACCAACCUGUGAGCUUGUGAAGGUUACUAAAGAUUUGACUGCAGGCAAUGCAUAUGACAAGCUUCGCGUGGAACGUGUGAAUGUACGUCAUGUUGGGGCCAAAGAGGGCAGCUGAGGCUGAAAAGGAAGAGAAGAAGUAGAAAACUUGUCUUUUAUAUCAAUUUGCAAGGUUGGUUAUGUGUUGCAAGAUUUUGCAAUCUAAGCGUCCUUAUUUUACUGGGGAUCCUAAGUUUAGAAUUUUGUAAUGUCAUUGUUUGGGUUUUUAUUCUUGAAAAUAUGAUGAGCAAUUAGACUUUCACUUCUAGUUUAUUUUCUUUCUUUGUCGGGUACUUUGAUCUUAUGGUUAAUCAUGCUAUUUUCAAAGAUUGUCAUGGUCUCUUUGUAGACUAAAAGAU